rnacentral:tRNA from 1 species
GCUCCGGUAGUUUAAUGGAUAGAAUUUUCGGCUACGAACCGAACGAUGCAGGUUCGAUUCCUGCCUGGAGUG